ACGCCCAUACUCACUUCUGUAAGGCUUUCAUAGUAGGGCUUUUUGGGCAUGUCCUGGGGUAGUUUUAUGACCCUUGAGGUAGUGUGACCCUUCCCCUGCACCAUGAACCUAAAGAAACACAUUUGACGAGGCUUUGGGAGGAGUUUUUGGCAUUCCCACGGAUAGUUCUGGCACGUGAGGAAGGGCGUCAGAUGGUACAUGGCGGACACGUUCUUUUCCUGCACAGAAGGGCACACACACACACACACACACACGCACACACAGAAAAAGGCUUUCAAAGUACGGCCUUUCUUUCCGUACUUUCUUGCGCAAAAAAUACAUGAAAGAGGUCGUUAAAAAUAACAGAAAAGUGCUCACCCUUCCUCUUGUAUGCACUUUGUUAGGCACUUUUCUGUGUUUUAAAAGCAUGUACAGCAGGUGACCCUUUUCAACUGGACCGUAAUUCAGUGGUUCGCCAGACACACCCAGUUGUCAAUAUGCAGAUUUACCCCGUCUCCACACUACUAAACGUGGUACUGUGUCAUUGUAUUACCAGCUCAUUAUUACAACUCUGAACAACGGUCCGUUCUCUCAUGUGGGACACACUGGUUCGUCCAACGUCCACACUCUGGGUGACCAAUAAGGAGGGUAACCGUUGUGGUGUGGCUGGUGGAGUGUGCCGCUCCUCCACCAAGACCUGGCUCACUCUCCACCCUUUAACCAGGCCAGGCAAUCCCUCCCACAUGAUUCUCAUUUAGAUAUCGCUGAGAGCCAUGACUGGCAUAAUGGUUGGUCUGUGGUAUUGACUCCAUAUCCUGACCACUUAGUUAGCCUUGAAAUAAGGGAGUUGUAUGCAGAAAUUAUGGAGCGCUUGAACCAGUGAGUGUGAUGAUUUCUAGUGAGCAUCUCCGUGGGGCGGCAACGCUAUUGUUCAAUGGUGUCUGGCAUUUACAGCUUCUUGUUUACCACCAGUUAGGUGAGUGUAGGAAAUGAUUGAGGUGUUACUUACAGGGUUAAGGAUCAUGAAAAUAUUACAGCCUCUUGUUUACCAGCAGUUAGGUGAGUGUAGGAAAUGAUUGAGGUGUUACUUACAGGGUUAAGGAUCAUGAAAAUAUUACAGCCUCUUGUUUACCUGCAGUUAGGUGAGUGUAGGAAAUGAUUGAGGUGUUACUUACAGGGUUAAGGAUCAUGAAAAUAUUACAGCCUCUUGUUUACCUGCAGUUAGGUGAGUGUAGGAAAUGAUUGAGGUGUUACUUACAGGGUUAAGGAUCAUGAAAAUAUUACAGCCUCUUGUUUACCUGCAGUUAGGUGAGUGUAGGAAAUGAUUGAGGUGUUACUUACAGGGUUAAGGAUCAUGAAAAUAUUACAGCCUCUUGUUUACCUGCAGUUAGGUGAGUGUAGGAAAUGAUUGAGGUGUUACUUACAGGGUUAAGGAUCAUGAAAAUAUUACAGCCUCUUGUUUACCAGCAGUUAGGUGAGUGUAGGAAAUGAUUGAGGUGUUACAGGGUUAACCCGGUAACAGCGACGGGCCAAAUCUGUGGCUUUACUGUGUAGCAGCGACGGGCCAAGUUUGUGGCUUUACCGUGUAGCAGCGACGGGCCAAAUUUGUGGCUUUACCGUGUAGCAGCGAUGGGCCAAAUUUGUGGCUUUACUGUGUAGCAGCGACGGGCCAAAUUUGUGGCUUUACCGUGUAGCAGCGAUGGGCCAAAUUUGUGGCUUUACUGUGUAGCAGCGACGGGCCAAAUUUGUGGCUUUACCGUGUAGCAGCGACGGGCCAAAUUUGGGGCUUUACCGCGUAGCAGCAAGGGGCCAAAUUUGGGGCUUUACCGUGUAGCAGCGAUGGGCCAAAUUUGUGCCAUGAUAUAAACCCCCCAAAUUAUAUGAUACAUAAUCUGAUCACAAAUGUUUUGAUAUAUAUUAUUAAAUGGUUUGUGUGAGGGGUGAUUUUUUCUCAUUUUUCUCGCUUGGAGGGACCAUUAACCCUUUCAUUGCUAAAUGCUGGCAGCAAGCGUAAGGCGUAUUUGCUGGCGUUGUUAAACACUCGCUGCGAGCUCCAGCCGCACUCAAAUCUCCCACGGAUGAGUGUGUUCCAACACUGAUUCUCACAACACAGGAUUGCCAAUUGAGUGUGUUCUUCACUAAAUUUGGUGGAAAAUCAUGUCAGCCCAGCGCGGCAAAUCUGCGGACGAGCAACUGGUGGAUGUUGUUGACCAAUGUAGCGACAUUUUUGCAUAGUUUCACAUGACUGAUAUUUUGAUCAAAUAGUUGUAAAUAUUGCAGUUGUCAAUACUGCCCUGCCAGCACCCCAUCAUCAAGAGAUCUACAGUAGUUGCCUUACAGCUGACCGUCGCGCAUGUAUAAAUGUACGUCUUCACAGGCAACACCCCCUCAACGUGCCUGUACUUUCGCAGGAGAGGUUUACAUUACUGAAUUGUAUAGAUCUUGGCCUCCUCUUUCCAAUGGUGUUUUUGUUUUGUAACUGUGAUGAAUAGUUUUUGAGAUAUAGCAGUUAAAAGAGAUGCCCCGCUGGGGUGCCCGAGCGUGCCUGAGGGGAUAGUCUCGCUGCGAGCGCUUAGCAAUGAAAGGAUUAACCCUUCCUAUGUACCAUAAACCUAAAAGAAACACUCAAUAGAACCUAAUUAUUCUCCUUUUUGGCCUUUGGA